rnacentral:rRNA from 1 species
UACGUAGGGUGCGAGCGUUAAUCGGAAUUACUGGGCGUAAAGCGUGCGCAGGCGGUUUGCCAAGUCAGGUGUGAAAUCCCCGGGCUUAACCUGGGAAUUGCGCUUGAAACUAGCGGGCUUGAGUGUGGUAGAGGGGGGUGGAAUUCCACGUGUAGCAGUGAAAUGCGUAGAGAUGUGGAGGAACACCGAUGGCGAAGGCAGGUCUCUGGGCUGAAACUGACGCUCAUGCACGAAAGCGUGGGGAGCAAACAGG